CGGGCUGGUCUCAAACUUCUGGACACAAACAAUCCUCCACAUUGGCCUCCCAAAAUGCUGGAAUUACAGGUGUGAGCCACUGGACCAGCAGGACUCUAAAUUUUGGUGCUCAAAAAACAUUUGUUGAGUAAGUGAACCUGAGACUAUCAACAAGCAUUAUUUUAAAAUCACUAGCAAAGGAGAUUGUAAAAUCAGGAAGUAUAUCUAAGUCACCUCCAGUAGCCGUAACUCUACCUUGUCCAGUAAAAGGACAGUGUACAAAUCAUGAAUUCAAAUAACCACCAUGCAGGUCAAGAAGAUAAAAUCAGCAGCACAUUCCAGGUCACCCUCUUGUCUCUACCAUCCCUUCUCAUCUCUCCAAAUAUGACCAAUAACCUUAGUUUUGUCAGUGUUUGGAAUUUGUAUAAAUGUGAUUGUACAGAAUGUACCCUUUCGUAUCUGGUUUCUUUCAGUCAAUACUAUGCCUAUUUUAUUUAUUCAUGUUAAUGAAUGGAAAAAUAGUUCAUUUAUUUUAACUUCUGUUUGGCAUUCCGUUGUGUGAUCAUUCUACAAUAUAUGUAUUUUACCUAUAGCUGGUGGGCUUUGUGCGGCUUCCAGAAUAGUAAUGUUAUAUAUAGUGCUAUUAUAUUCAUUUUUGUAUGAAUACAAAUGGUACCUUUGUUUUGUUUUGAAUAGGAGGGGAUUUACUAGAUAAAUGGGUUAUGGGUGUUUUCAACUUUGACAGACCCUAAAAGUUUCUCAAAGUAAUAGUACCAAAUUACCUUCUCACCAGGAAUAUAAGAGGUCUAUUUUUUUCUAGGUCUUUGGUGAUAACUGCUGUUUUAGCCUUUUAAUUUUGUCAUAUUUGUUGAUUUGCUG
ensembl:lncRNA LINC01036 long intergenic non-protein coding RNA 1036